CAGAUAAGGAGCGCAUUAUGGUCUGUGGACACAACCGCAACGCUGUUCCUCUCUACAAUGACCCCUUACAUCGCUGCCAUGCGACACACGGGCCCCCCAAUCCAAAAAUCACCCUUUUUUCCUUCUGCCACGGCUGGACUCUGAUAAGGCCGCUCAUGAGUGCAUCUCUCUGUCCAAUUCUUUCCCUUUUUUAUCCUUCCACUUCCCCCUCUUUGCUUUUUUUUAAUCUCAGGUGAAUCGUAAUCAUGUGAUCAAAAACGAGCGCCCCCUUCUCCCCCCUUAAGUAAAAAGACUGGUGAACAAAACACUGUUUUGUUUAAAGGAAAAAGAAAAUAGGGGAAAAGGCUUGUUUCUGCUCUCCUAAAGACACUCUUUGUCCGACUUAAAGCCUGACACUCAGAAGGAGACGCUCCGGGAGCUGCGGGUGGAACUGGCCGGCUCCUGCAGCUCUGGAGCUGGGACAUCUGAGCGCAACCCUGGGGAUUUCGAGGCUCCCGCGGAGCUGAGGACGCGCGGGCCAACUCCAGUUUGAUAUUGUUUGUGGGCGUUUGAUCAUGACUGGAGCCCCGGUGUUGUUUAAAAGCUGCUCCACACAGAACACCCUAUACGUCCUAGAGAAGCAUCGUCUCUUCUCCCCUCAUGCACCUGUGCAGGACAAAGCAGGUCUCCUGCUCAUUUUUGUAAGUCAUCGGAUCAAGAGGAAAGGCAGUCUGAAGGAUGUCAAACUCCAUCUGGUUGUCCAUGUCCAGGACACACAUGACAUUAUGGCUUCCUGAAGUCACAGUGGAGCUGUCGUGGAACAUGUUG